UACGUAGGUGGCAAGCGUUGUCCGGAUUUACUGGGCGUAAAGAGCGCGCAGGCGGUCGUUCAAGUCGCGUGUGAAAGCCCCCGGCUCAACUGGGGAGGGUCACGCGAUACUGAUCGACUCGAAGGCAGGAGAGGGUAGUGGAAUUGCUGGUGUAGUGGUGAAAUGCGUAGAGAUCAGCAGGAACACCAAGGGCGAAAGCAGCCCCCUGGGCCGCACCUGACACUGAGGGGCGAAAGCGUGGGGAGCGAACCGG
rnacentral:rRNA from 1 species